rnacentral:misc_RNA from 1 species
UUAACUUAUAAUAUUACUCAGACAACACAAAAUCAAGAGUUUAGAGUCCUCUGGCAAGCACUGACCAGCCAAAGCCGGUGGUCAAAAGACAGGCCUGCCAAAGCAACAAAGGUAAUGUAAACAAAGGGUGGGAGAUCUACCCCAAAGGGCAAUUUCUCUGUAAUGAUCCUUCCGCAGGUUCACCUACGGAACACAUGGUCUACAACCUUUCAGAGGUAGGCCGGUCAUAUCUGAAUCCAAGAUGGGUAUUGACCUUCUUAGACCACCUUCGUUUGAUCUGUGGACUGCUAUAAUAUGCAGCUGCAUGUUACCCUGAUGGUAUCCAAGCACAGUGAAGAUGUUGCCUAUGUUUAGACUUGUAUCCAAGGCUUCUGCAGGUGUUGUUCCUCUAGAGAAA